ACGUAUGGCGCAAGCGUUAUCCGGAUUUAUUGGGCGUAAAGCGCGUCUAGGCGGUUUGGUAAGUCUGAUGUGAAAAUGCGGGGCUCAACUCCGUAUUGCGUUGGAAACUGCCAAACUAGAGUACUGGAGAGGUAGGCGGAACUACAGGUGUAGAGGUGAAAUUCGUAGAUAUUUGUAGGAAUGCCGAUGGGGAAGCCAGCCUACUGGACAGAUAGUGACGCUAAAGCGCGAAAGCGUGGGUAGCAAACAGGAUUAGAUACCCUGGUAGUCCACGCCGUAAACGAUGAUU
rnacentral:rRNA from 1 species